CCUGAUGCAGCAACGCCGCGUGAGGGAUGACGGCCUUCGGGUUGUAAACCUCUUUUAGUAGGGAAGAAGGGAGCUUGCUCUUGACGGUACCUGCAGAAAAAGCACCGGCUAACUACGUGCCAGCAGCCGCGGUAAUACGUAGGGUGCAAGCGUUGUCCGGAAUUAUUGGGCGUAAAGAGCUCGUAGGCGGUUUGUCGCGUCUGCUGUGAAAACCCGAGGCUCAACCUCGGGCCUGCAGUGGGUACGGGCAGACUAGAGUGCGGUAGGGGAGAAUGGAAUUCCUGGUGUAGCGGUGGAAUGCGCAGAUAUCAGGAGGAACACCGAUGGCGAAGGCAGUUCUCUGGGCCGUAACUGACGCUGAGGAGCGAAAGCGUGGGGAGCGAACAGGAUUAGAUACCCUGGUAGUCCACGCCGUAAACGUUGGGCGCUAGAUGUGGGGACCUUUCCACGGUUUCCGUGUCGCAGCUAACGCAUUAAGCGCCCCGCCUGGGGAGUACGGCCGCAAGGCUAAAACUCAAAGGAAUUGACGGGGGCCCGCACAAGCGGCGGAGCAUGCGGAUUAAUUCGAUGCAACGCGAAGAACCUUACCAAGGCUUGACAUAUACGAGAACGGGCCAGAAAUGGUCAACUCUU
rnacentral:rRNA from 1 species